UCUCUAAUGAUGAGGGAAAAAAAAGGCAAAAAAGAAAGCAGCAGCGAGCAGCAAACCUGUAUUAAAAGUCAAACGAUGAACCAUAUUACGAGGAAAAGUAAUGUUAUCUGAUACACUCUGGUGGCCAGUCUUUCUAGAAGAAGAACUCACAGGUGCAUCAUGGUAUUGGAAGAUGCUCAACUUCCAGGCAAGCAAAUCUCCAUCCUGCAAUGUGCAGAGAAGCUGCUGAAAUGCUGGGUCAGAGAGACCGGGGAACCACUAAG